ACUCAAAGGAAUUGACGGGGGCCCGCACAAGCAGUGGAGUAUGUGGUUUAAUUCGAAGCAACGCGAAGAACCUUACCAGGGCUUGACAUCCCUCGAAUAGAUUAGAAAUAAUCUAGUCCUUCGGGACGAGGAGACAGGUGGUGCAUGGUUGUCGUCAGCUCGUGUCGUGAGAUGUUGGGUUAAGUCCCGCAACGAGCGCAACCCCUGUUGUUAGUUGCCAUCAUUAAGUUGGGCACUCUAACGAGACUGCCGGUGACAAAUCGGAGGAAGGUGGGGACGACGUCAAAUCAUCAUGCCCCUUAUGUCCUGGGCUACACACGUACUACAAUGGCCACUACAGAGGGGAGCUAAGCUGUAAAGUGGAGCAAAUCCCUAAAAGUGGUCCCAGUUCGGAUUGUGGGCUGCAACUCGCCCAUAUGAAGCCGGAAUUGCUAGUAAUGGCAGGUCAUCAUACUGCCGUGAAUACGUUCCCGGGCCUUGUACACACCGCCCGU
rnacentral:rRNA from 1 species